AGAGGAAGUAAAAGUCGUAACAAGGUUUCCGUAGGUGAACCUGCGGAAGGAUCAUUAAAAGUAAUAUGUGUUCACUCGAAUAUACAUUAUAAACCCCCCUCUGUGUACCUUACCUGUUGCUUCCGCUGGGCAGUGAUCUCGGUCACCUGCGAACCGGAUGGCGCGAGCCAUCCGGUGGUAGAGUCCCCGCGAAUGGUCUACAUCAAACCCUUGCAUUUCUAUGUCAUCUGUCUGAACCUGUUUAUAACAAAUGUUAAAACUUUCAACAACGGAUCUCUUGGUUCUCGCAUCGAUGAAGAACGCAGCGAAAUGCGAUAAGUAGUGUGAAUUGCAGAAUUCAGUGAAUCAUCGAAUCUUUGAACGCACAUUGCGCCUCCUGGUAUUCCGGGAGGCAUGCCUGUUCGAGCGUCAUUAAAAACCACUCAAGCUCUUUUUGCUUGGUAUUGGGAGAUAGGAGCGUACCAUGAUGCACUCCCUCCCGAAAUCCAAUGGCGGAAAGCCUCAGGUGCCCCGGCGUAGUAAGUUUUCUUUCGCUCGGAACCAGAGGUGAUCCUGCCCCAAACCCCCAAUCACUUUUUUCAGGUUGACCUCGGAUCA
rnacentral:rRNA from 1 species